UACAGAGGGUGCGAGCGUUGUUCGGAAUUAUUGGGCGUAAAGGGCGCGUAGGCGGUGCGGUAAGUCACCUGUGAAAUCUCCUGGCUUAACUGGGAGCCUGCAGGCGAAACUACCGUGCUGGAGUGUGGGAGAGGUGCGUGGAAUUCCCGGUGUAGCGGUGAAAUGCGUAGAUAUCGAGAGGAACACCUGCGGCGAAGGCGGGUUGCUGGGUCGACACUGACGCUGAUGCGCGAAAGCCAGGGGAGCGAACGGG
rnacentral:rRNA from 1 species